AUUGAACGCUGGCGGCAUGCCUUACACAUGCAAGUCGAACGGCAGCACGGGAGCAAUCCUGGUGGCGAGUGGCGAACGGGUGAGUAAAGUAUCGGAACGUGCCCAGUCGUGGGGGAUAACGUAGCGAAAGUUACGCUAAUACCGCAUACGAUCUAUGGAUGAAAGCGGGGGAUCGCAAGACCUCGCGCGAUUGGAGCGGCCGAUAUCAGAUUAGGUAGUUGGUGGGGUAAAGGCUCACCAAGCCCACGAUCUGUAGCUGGUCUGAGAGGACGACCAGCCACACUGGGUCUGAGACACGGCCCAGACUCCUACGGGAGGCAGCAGUGGGGAAUUUUGGACAAUGGGCGAAAGCCUGAUCCAGCCAUGCCGCGUGCAGGAUGAAGGCCUUCGGGUUGUAAACUGCUUUUGUACGGAACGAAAAGGUUUGGCCUAAUAAGCUGAGCUCAUGACGGUACCGUAAGAAUAAGCACCGGCUAACUACGUGCCAGCAGCCGCCGUAA
rnacentral:rRNA from 1 species